rnacentral:lncRNA from 1 species
GCCCACCCAGUGUUACGAAAUUUACAAUCAAGUCGAAGUGGAUUUUCAUCCUGGCUCUGUCGCUUGCUGGCUGCGUGCUCCCGGGAACUCGGGACCCCUGCCUCUCUUUGGCUACCGUGCAUAAAAUCCCGGAGAAAAUUAGUUAAAUAAUGAAGCGAGAAUAUGCAAUCAAGUGCAUGAUGUAUACUCGGAAUGCACAGACGUUGGAUUCACCGUUGUCUGUCUCCAGCCAUCACCACACCAAGCAGAAGGGCCUCCCGAGGCACAUCUACCCUCUUCUUCCCGUGUUUCUGGCCUGUGCACAGCUGGCACCCUUGGCAGACGUCCAUCUUGGCAGAGGCCCAAGGCCUAGAAAAUUAAGACGCCUAGGAACUGCAGGCCGAUGUCCUGGGUGGCUGUUUUCCUGGAUUUCGCUCGCUUUGAUGAGGCCGGAGCGGGCCUCUUCAGAGGAACGUAGACCUGUCUGCACCCGAACACCAAAACCGAGCCCAGGGGGCGUGGCCGGGCGGCUGGCGCAGAGGCCCCACCUCACCUGGGAGGACGCUGGCAUCUGGUAUGAGGCCUGGCAGAGUGGGCCUGGGAGGUGGCUCCAGGCCCAGGGCCAGCCACACUGCUUUCCCACGUGUGAAGUCGUUAGCUUCGCCAGGGCCAAACUCUAG